GGAGGCCACCGUCCCCUAAAGAGAGUGGCGGCUGGGAUUUUUCCUUCGGGUCUUCUUAGAGCAAAGUUUCCUAGCACCACACUUAUUUCAUAAUGAUUUUAUCAAGGCAUCGCAAAGAAACUAAUAUCAAGUUUGUUUCCCACUCGAUGUACAGUAGUUUGAUUAGAAAUUAGUUUCUUAACUCGCAAUCCAUUAUAAAUUUAUUUAGGGCUCGUUUGGGAGUACUUCUUCUCGAAGCGCUUAUGUCAGUAGCAC
rnacentral:lncRNA from 1 species